AAGUCGUAACAAGGUUUCCGUAGGUGAACCUGCGGAAGGAUCAUUACAAAUGCAAGAAGGGAAGAAGCAAGACCCUGCCCUUGGGCGGACGUCCGUCUCCUUCUCUCUUCUUUGAAUCUUAUGUGCACCGUAUACAAACCUAUUCGCCUUUAAAAAUAUCUAAAGCCUUAAGCAUAUUUAAAAUUCUAAAACGUCUCCCGAUCGAAAGGUCGCGCUGACGCCAACGAAUUAACAAAUAAAAAAACAACUUUUAACAAUGGAUCUCUUGGCUCUC
rnacentral:misc_RNA from 1 species